rnacentral:rRNA from 1 species
AACGAACGCUGGCGGCAUGCCUAACACAUGCAAGUCGAACGAGACCUUCGGGUCUAGUCGCGCACGGAUGCGUAACGCGUUGGAACCUGCCUUUAAGUUCGGAAGAACGCAGAGAAAUUUGAGCUAAUACCGGAUGAUGUCUUCGAACCAAAGAGUUAGCGCAUUUGGAUGGUCCCGCGUUGGAUUACCUAGUUGGUGGGGUAAAUGCCUACCAAGGCGAGGAUACAUAGCUGGUAUGAGAGGAUGAUCAGCGACACUGGGACUGAGAAACGGCCCAGACUAUUACGGGAGGGAGCAGUGGGGAAUAUUGGACAAUGGGCGAAAGCAUGAUCCAGCAAGGACUGGUGAGUGAUGAAGGCCUUAGGGUUGUAAAGUUAGUUUAUCCGAGACGAUAAUGACAGUACCGGGAGAAUAAGCUCCGGCUAACUCCGUG